rnacentral:rRNA from 1 species
AUGGUGGUGCUGCACGUGAAAUCGUCGACCUCCUCCUCGUCCCCAUCCCCGUCCCCGCCGGAGGUAGAGGAGGAGAUGGAGUUCCUGUACGAGUGCGCCGCCACUGCCGCCGUCGCGGACGUGGCGGCCGCGCUCGCGGGCACCGCCGGCCUCCAGGCCCGCGUCCUCUCCCUCUGCCGCCGCCUCCGAGAGAGGUGCCCGAGCGGCGAGCUGGAGAGGGCUCUUUCGGAGGCCGAAGCCUACGCCUCCAAGGUACAAGUACGUCAUAACAAAUUUGUGUCCCCUCGUGCUCUAAGGGAACAUAUCAAGAAUAUUGAAAAGACAGCUGCUAAUGCUCUACCAGACACUUCGGAGGCCUUAUGUCCGCAACAUCCAAAAUCAGAUGAAAAGCGUGACAGCAUACAACUUUGGUGGGCUGGAAAAGAGCUAGCUAUGGAUAAGAAGCUAUCUGACUAUAUUGGUGUUAAUGACAAAACAAAGAUUGUCAUCAGGCUAAGCCUCCCAACGAGCCUUUAG